rnacentral:lncRNA from 1 species
UAAUCUGGUGCAUUGUUGGAUGCAUUAAAAUUGUUAGCUAUGAAUAUUUAUAUUUUUGACAUUAAGUAUUCAUUUCUCCUCUUAAUUUUUGUUUGGGUGCAAGUUUCGCUCUUCGGAGUGAUAUUGAAUGAUAUAAAGUGAUAUUUCUCAUCCAUUUUGGAGUAUGGGUAACGUACAGCUGCAUGAAUAUGCCAAGUCGUGUUACCAGUAAAUUUGGAAAUUAUACAUGCAUUCAUUAGAAUUGAACGACUGAUACUCAGAAUCUGGUUGCCAUUAAGUUUUUUCUUUGUUCUCUGUAUUUGCUUUGACAUCCAGCCCUAUCUAUAAAGAUCGGUAAGGCAUUUCAUUUCACUAUUGUGAAAGAAAUACUCAAGCAAUCUAGAGAGCAACUAUGAAUGAUCGUCUUCCAUUGAUCAGAGUUGGUUGGUUCAUCCCUGUCGAAAGAAGAAAAGUUAGUCCACCUCUUUGUUGUUGUGUAUAUAGGAGCCCCAAUAGAAUAUAUUUUGGUAAGACUUGAAAUCCUUCCUUUUUCAUUUUUUUUCCUGUGGUAUUUUCUCGUAGUAUGUAUCUAGUAUAUGUCCUACGAAGUGUGUGAAUAACAUUAAUUUCACCUCUUCAAUAAACUGACCUAGGUAAAUUCAUGAACUCAAUUUGAUUAUUCUUUCUUACUAGACAUAUGAACCAUGAAUUGUCUUAUGAUUCAUCAACUAGAUAGCGGUUAGCGGUGACUAUUGAAUAAUUUUCUUUAGCUUGAGUUGGGUUAAAAGAGAUUCCUUCUUUGCCAUGGAAAAGCUUCAUUCUGUUCACAAGUUGAUUCAUUCACAGUAAAGAUUAGUGUUUUGUUUUCUAUAUCUCAUACAGAAACCGUUGUUUUAUAAUUUGAAUAAACCAGCAAAUGCCCUUAUUCAUGUUGUUA